UCCCUUCCGCUCUGCCACGGGGAGGCAACGGCUGCGGCGCUGAGCCCAGCACGGGGCUCCCCAGUUCAGGACAAACCCGAAGUGCUGGGAGAGCCCUGCAGAGACGGUGGGGCCUCAGCACCUCCUGAUGGGAGCCCCGGGACCGUUCACCUGGGGAAGAGCUGGCUGAGAGGGGUCUGAUCAGCGCUGAUCUGAAGGGCGGAGCUCAGGAGGAGUGCCGGGCUCUGCUCAGCGCUGCUCAGCACAGGGGCUGGAGAAAGGUGCCGAGAAUCCGAGGGGCCCACCGGGGAUUAUUUUCUCGAGCGGAAGGAUCUCAGUCUACCUCAUGCAGAGGGAGCGAUGAGUCCUCAUAGUUCCGGCAGAGGCGUUUGGCGCCAACUAUAAAAGGGCGGCGGCGGCUCUGUGAGGGUUGGGCUGCCUUCGGUGGGUGCGGCAGGAAUGGGACACAGCUGUGUUGACAGGAUGCUGGCCCUCCAGUGGCAGCUGUCUGCAGAUGCACGGGCUGUGCCUGCUGCCAGCAGUGGAGGUGAUGCUCCUCGCGGAUGGCUGGGCAGCCCCACGUGAGUUAUGGGCUCACAUUGGCACCCGCUUUUCCAGCCCGUGUUUUGGAGUUGGGAUUUUCCACCUCUGCCAGCAGUGGGUCGUUGUCAGAGGUCACUUUUGGGAUGUUUUGCAUCACGGCUUUCCUACGGCUUCCCAUGGCACUGCAUCCAACCCCAAACGCACCCACAAUGACAGAGCUGCUGUUUGCUCUCCCAGAAAACAAUCUUGGGGGGGAAAAAAAAUAAAACACCACAACCAAAGCACAUAAAAAUCCGAAGCGAGUGGAGCUUUGGUUCCUUUUUCUGAUUUCAGCACAGCGCUGAGGAGCGAAGCAGACGGGUUCCAUCCCAAGGACAGCCUGGCUCCGCUCGCCCCGCCGCGUUCCCAGGAGGGAUGGAGGAGAAAUUGACGUUGAGCAGCGCCAGGAGGCGAGCGGCCCGGCAGGGCGGGGGGCUGCUUCAGCCUGAG